UGCAGCCAUCCUGUACCUCUGACAAUACUCUGAGUCACAGCUGGGCUGCAGCAGUGAGUAAUCUGUUACUGCCAGGUGUCAUGGUUGGAGCCAGUUGCCCAGCAACACCAAGCAGUGGGCAUGACCAAACAGGCAAGCUUCAUACAGGCUGCAGAUGCAACAAAGGGAGAUGAGGAGGAAGAGCCUGCCUACUUUGGGGCUGGCGGGAGUGAAAGUAGAUGAGGAAGGAAACAGGCAUUUGAGCUGUCCUGACCUCACUGCCCGAGGAAGAGAUGGCACCAACCACCCAAAUGUCAAGUGGACGUGGCUGGCCAGACAGGAGAGAAGAGGCAACUCCACCAGAUAUGCUUAUGGCAUAGCAGCCCACAUGGAAAGGGACCCAACUCUUUGGCUGGGGUACACAAGAUGUGAGGUUUACACAACUGAGGUUCCACCAGAGGAGAUGGGGCUGCUUCUCUCCACAGGCUGUCCAGUAUUACAGCUCCUCUACAGGACUGAAGUUAAGAGAAGAAGAGAAAGUGUUUAUACCAGAUAAUCAAAUAGGUUGCAUUGUCUAUCCUCUCAGCAUCCAAAAACACUAAGCAUAAGGCAGUAGCUCCCAAAACUUUCAGCAUUGUGCCAACACAGAUUGAUUGAUUGACUGACUGACUGACUGACUGACUACAAGUUAUUUUAUACCAUUUGACUUAGAGACAAACACUGCUCUGGGUGGUUGACACUGUAUAUAAGGAAAUCAAUCCUCCCCAACUGCACACCCCACAAUAGGCCCAAGUAGCGCAAAUCCAUAACUACAACAAGGGGAGAAUGUCUUUAAAUGCUUCUUUUUAAAGUUCAAUCUUCAGCAUCUUUUUAAAGAUUAGGAGGGAGCAGACCUAACGAAUCUCUAAUAGGAGCCCAUUCCACAAGGAUCAAGCCACAACAGGAGAAAGCUCGAUUCCUAGUGGACACUUUUUUCACUGCUCUCAGCAGGGUCACCCAUCAGAGCAAAGCCGGGGAGGAUCAACUUCUGAUUUUUGAGGAACCCGCAUGCCUCUUCACCUCCCGUAUACCAUCACAGAAUUUCAUUUGUAAUUUAUGAAUUUAAUUUUUAAACCUUAAAAAUCUUACUUCAAAUUAAAAAUAAGCACAAAAUGUUGCGUUUGAGAAACCAUAAAUUCUAAUGAUGUAGAAACUUGUUUGGGCUGAUUUUUUUAAAUGCAAACCAGUUUUACUCACCACCACUUCACCCCAGAAUUUCUUCAUACCCUCCCAGGGAGUCAUGCUCUCCCAAUCUGGGAACCAGUGGCAUGAAGUGCUU
rnacentral:lncRNA from 1 species